rnacentral:rRNA from 1 species
UGGGGAAUCUUCCGCAAUGGACGAAAGUCUGACGGAGCAACGCCGCGUGAGUGAUGACGGCCUUCGGGUUGUAAAGCUCUGUUAAUCGGGACGAAUGGUUCUUGUGCAAAUAGUGCGAGGAUUUGACGGUACCGGAAUAGAAAGCCACGGCUAACUACGUGCCAGCAGCCGCGGUAAUACGUAGGUGGCAAGCGUUGUCCGGAAUUAUUGGGCGUAAAGCGCGCGCAGGCGGAUUGGUCAGUCUGUCUUAAAAGUUCGGGGCUUAACCCCGUGAUGGGAUGGAAACUGCCAAUCUAGAGUAUCGGAGAGGAAAGUGGAAUUCCUAGUGUAGCGGUGAAAUGCGUAGAUGUUAGGAAGAACACCAGUGGCGAAGGCGACUUUCUGGACGAAAACUGACGCUGAGGCGCGAAAGCCAGGGGAGCGAACGGG